rnacentral:rRNA from 1 species
AGAGUUUGAUCAUGGCUCAGAAUCAACGCUGGCGGCGUGCCUAACACAUGCAAGUCGAACGAGAAAGUGGAGCAAUCCAUGAGUAAAGUGGCGACCGGGUGAGUAACACGUGACUAACCUACCUUCAAGUGGGGGAUAACCUCGGGAAACCGAGGCUAAUACCGCAUAAUAUCGCAAGAUCAAAGCAGCAAUGCGCUGGAAGAGGGGGUCGCGGCUGAUUAGCUAGUUGGCGGGGUAACGGCCCACCAAGGCGAAGAUCGGUAUCCGGCCUGAGAGGGCGCACGGACACACUGGAACUGAAACACGGUCCAGACUCCUACGGGAGGCAGCAGUGGGGAAUUUUGCGCAAUGGGGGAAACCCUGACGCAGCAACGCCGCGUGGAGGAUGAAGCCCCUUGGGGCGUAAACUCCUUUCGACCAAGACGAUAAUGACGGUACUGGUGAAGAAGCGCGGCUAACAUCG